GACGAACCGUCCUAACGUUGUUCGGAAUCACUGGGCUUAAAGGGCGCGUAGGCGGGCCAGCAAGUCUAGGGUGAAAUCCUCCGGCUUAACCGGAGAACAGCCUUGGAUACUGCUGGUCUCGAGGGAGGUAGGGGUCUGCGGAACUUCUGGUGGAGCGGUGAAAUGCGUUGAUAUCAGAAGGAACGCCGGUGGCGAAAGCGGCGGACUGGACCUUCACUGACGCUGAGGCGCGAAAGCUAGGGGAGCAAACAGG
rnacentral:rRNA from 1 species